AUUGAACGCUGGCGGCAUGCUUUACACAUGCAAGUCGAGCGGUAACAGGCCUUCGGGUGCUGACGAGUGGCGAACGGGUGAGUAAUGCAUCGGAACGUACCCAGAGGUGGGGGAUAACGCAGCGAAAGCUGUGCUAAUACCGCAUGUGAUCUGAGGAUGAAAGCGGGGGACCGAGCAGCAAUGUUUGGCCUCGCGCCUUUGGAGCGGCCGAUGCCGGAUUAGCUAGUUGGUGGGGUAAAGGCCUACCAAGGCGACGAUCCGUAGCUGGUCUGAGAGGACGACCAGCCACACUGGGACUGAGACACGGCCCAGACUCCUACGGGAGGCAGCAGUGGGGAAUUUUGGACAAAGGGCGCAAGCCUGAUCCAGCAAUGCCGCGUGCGGGAAGAAGGCCUUCGGGUUGUAAACCGCUUUUGGCAGGAACGAAACGGUGUCCGCUAAUACCGGGCGCUAAUGACGGUACCUGCAGAAUAAGCACCGGCUAACUACGUG
rnacentral:rRNA from 1 species